UACGUAGGGAGCAAGCGUUGUCCGGAAUCAUUGGGCGUAAAGCGCGCGUAGGCGGCCCUGUAAGUCCGUUGUGAAAGUCAAAGGCUCAACCUUUGAAAGCCGAUGGAUACUGCAGGGCUAGAGUCCGGAAGAGGCGAAGUGGAAUUCCUGGUGUAGCGGUGGAAUGCGCAGAUAUCAGGAGGAACACCCCGUGGCUAAGGCGGCUCUCUAGUACGGUACUGACGCUGAGACGCGAAAGCGUGGGGAGCGAACAGG
rnacentral:rRNA from 1 species